rnacentral:rRNA from 1 species
UUUUAAGUCUAAUCUGCCCAAUGAAUGAUUAAAUGGCUGCAGUAUUUUAACUGUACAAAGGUAGCAUAAUAAUUAGUUUCUUAAUUAGGAACUGGAAUGAAUGAUUGGACGAAACAGUGACUGUCUUAGUUUAAAUUUUAGAAUUUUAUUUUUAAGUUAAAAAGCUUAAAUUUUUUUAAAAGACGAGAAGACCCUAUAGAAUUUUAUACUAUUUGAAUAUUUUAUUAUUAGGAUUUUAAUAUAGAAUUUUUUAAUUAGUAUUUAGUUGGGGUGAUUGAAAAAUUUAAUAAACUUUUUUUUAUUAUUAACAUUAAUAUAUGAUUAUAUGAUCCAGUUUUUCUGAUUAUAAGAUUAAAUUACCUUAGGGAUAACAGCGUAAUUUUUUUAGAGAGUUCUAAUCGAUAAAAGAGAUUGCGACCUCGAUGUUGGAUUAAAGUUUAUUUUUAAUGUAGGAGUUAAAAUAUUAGGUCUGUUCGACCUUUAAAACUUUACAUGAUCUGAGUUUAAACCGGUGUGAGCCAGGUUGGAUUCUAUCUUUAAUUAAAUUAAAUAUUUUAGUACGAAAGGACCAAGUGUUUAUUAUAAUAAUUUUAUUAGAA